AUCCAGCUGACGAGUCCAAAAUAGCACGUAAUGCGUGUCGUAGAU
rnacentral:hammerhead_ribozyme from 1 species